rnacentral:tRNA from 1 species
AGGCAGUUAGUAUAGUAAAUACGUUAGUUUGUCGUACUAAAAACACUUUUUUGGUACUGUCUU